AAAAUUGAGGAGGGGGUGAAUGUUGUAGAGUUAAACCUGGGAAUUGAGGAAGAGAGCCAUUGCCCCUGCUGAGCAGUGAAGAUGGCCUACCGUUUGGACAAUGCAAAGGCCAAUCUAGUCACAAAUUCAAUCACAUACUGCUAGUUCUGGAAACAGGACAAAUAGGAUGGCAACAGAGCCCCACAAAAGCUAUUCUAAAUAUUACACAUUCUGAAGGAAAGGAAUUGAAAAGCCCAAAAUGUCAACCAUCAGUGCAUUCUGACUACAUCUUGAGCAAAGCAGCCCUUUGUAAUCCCUGGAUUUCAAUUUUCAAUUAGGAAAGGACAAAAGGGCGAUCCCUCGUUGUCCCAGUAUGAUGGCCUUCCAAGUGCAGCAUCUCAGCGGUGGAUACAUAGGUGACUGUAGAGCUCUAUUCUUGACCCACAUGGUUCUUCCACAGUGAGGAUAUUGAAUAUUCUAUUCUAUUCUAUUAAUAAAACCAUAGCGUUGGAAGGGGUACAAAUCGCUAUCUAGUCCAACGUACUUCUUAUGCAGUAAAUCCACAACUAAAGUAUCUUUGGCACAAGAAUAUCCAGCUUUUGCUUAAAAGGCCUCCAGAGAAGGAAAAUCCACCAUCUUCUGAGGCAAUCUGUCCCUCUGCCAAACAACCCUCACUUGCAGGAAGUUCUGUGUUUACCUAUUUCGUUAUAAAAUGUUGCAAUCAAUGCCUGGACAAAAUUACUUUUACAUGCCUAAACAUAUUAUAUAGAGUUUCUCUAUAACUGGAGCAAACUCUAUAAUCCUUCUCCGUCCUCUCCUACACCUCUAAACCAAAGUCUCUUUUCUAAUGGGCUAUUCAUUUCCUGUUACUCUUGACAUUGGCUUUAUAUCUUACAUAAGCCAACUUAUGUAACUUAAAUGGGUUAAUGUGGUUGUCUGGCAGUGAUUCCUUUUAAAGUGAAGAAACACCAAACCCUGUAUUUCUGUUUGCUGAGUUUAUUUUUGACGGUUCUAGAUGCAUGAACAUGAGAUCUUGACCUUCACCUCACAUGAAAGAGAUUCAAAUUACAAGAAAAAAAGAUAUCAUAUAAACAGCAGGAAGAACUACUUGAUGGUGAUCAACAGUGGAACUGGCUACCUGAUAAAGUGGUGGAAUAACCUUAUUCACGAAUCUGAAAUUGUCUUCACUUUCAUAUUGCCUUUUGAGAUGGGAAUGGUGCUGAGAAUUCUGAAGUCAGUGGAUGAGUCCCUAAAGCAUCAGGCCUCCUGUUUGUUGGGAACAUCUCACAAUAAUGAAGUUCUGUUAGCCACAAUUCUGGGAUAUUUAUUUUCCAUUUUCCCAUAUGUUCCCUACAAAAAUCAUCCUACUCUCUGUUUCAAGUUUAGACUUAGAAGCCGUAAAAGCAGCAGAUGAGCAAAUGAAUAAAGCCAAGUGGAAACAAUACAAGCAAAAACAAACACCAUAUGUUUCAGGGGUGCCGUCGUUCCCAAAGAAGUGGAAAAUAAAGAUGAAGAUUAGUACAUAACACAUAUGGGACUUCACAUGAUUUUGCUACACUUCCAAACUGGCAGCUGACUUGGCCCUGAAUCCACUUGGUAAUUCCACCUCGGGCAGGAUUACUGAAUCAGUCAGAUUUACAUAAGUGUUGACCCCAGCAAACAAAAAACUUCAUCAACAUAAUAAGCAUGUACACAUUCAUUUGAGGGGGGGAAAAGUUUUAAAAGCCAUGUUUUGACGUGAUUAUGUAACUAAAUCUGAUCGGGUGCCAAUCAAAUUUUCAUUUCACAAACAAGUUGCCACAGCAAAGAAAGUCCUUUUACAUAUCUUUCUGCAAUACAUUGUUCCUAUAUGCUCAAUAGCUUUUCUUAAAAACAGCCUUACUGCAUGGAUGUAGCAUUAAAAACCUUUGCCAUUUAGAUGGUAUAUCAUUUUUUCCUAGUCCAUUGGAAUUAUUGAAAAUACUUCCCCUACCCUAUCAAAAAGUCAAAAAGAACAGCACACAUGGAGAAGAUGCAUUGAAAAUGUGAUAUAUUGAGAUGCGGUGGGUUCAACUGGCCAACAAUUUUUUUCCCCCAUCAGAAUCGCAAACCUUAUUUCUGGUUAAAUAUAAAGAAAAAAGACAGGAAUGUAGCAUUAAGGUCACUGGUGUAGACAGAAUAUGAUAGUGUACACACAACUGAGGUGCACAAUAUCCCAAGAUAAUGUCUGAAAAGUCACAAUUGAGUGCUUGAUCUUGCGAUUGUUAUAUAUAAGGAAUACCAUUUUACUACGCCACUGUAUGUAAUGGAACUUGAGUAUGCACAGAUUUUGGUAUCCACUGGGGAUCCUUAAACCAAACCCCAGCAGGAACAAGGGGCUCACUAUACUGGCAUCAGAAAGAAGGGUGUAUGGGUAGGAAAUAUGCAUUUUUGUAGAAGGUAGGUUGGCUUCUGAAAGGUAGAAAAAUUGUAAUCAGGAAUUGUUGGCUAGGUGGUUAGCCUUCUUGAUACUGCCUACUUAGAAUGCACCUAAACUGCAUGGUAACUUAAACAGCCCAUUGAAAGAAGAAAGCUGAGAAGAACAAUGACUAGGUGUUUUAUCAAUGGGAAUCAGAGUGAAAGGGACUUUUGCAUCCAAAGACAGCCAGAAAUGGAGAUGGUAAGGUCUCGGUCAGGGAUACAAUAUCACUCCCGUGUCCCUAUCUAUAAUUCCACUUAUCCAUGCUUGCCCAGCGGUGUGUGUAGGCCUCUCUCAGUCCUUUGGUGAGAUUCUAUGGUGUGCAUCCAGCCCAGGUAUAGUCAAAAUGCUAGCUUCACUAUUAUUCCUAUUUUCAGAUAUAUGAGACCAGGGUGCAUAGAUCUUAGAACAUAUUUCCACAGAUAUUGCAGUCAGACUGUACAUGAGAUUACCCCAGUGCAGCCUUUCUUUCACUGGAUGCACUGCCAACUCUUUACCACCACUCAGGUGGCCUCUUCUUUAUGGCUGGCAUCCAGCACACAGGAAAUGCAAUGCUGUCCAGAAGUCAAGAGAAAUUAUCUGUCAAACUAGUGCAGGGAAAAAAUUAGUAUAAAAUUAGCGAACACUUCUGGGCACAUGCUAUUCUUCACAUCUGGUGGUUGUUCACACACCAAAAGUUGGAAAUAACCCUGCUUUCUCCAUUUAAAAAUCCUAAUUUAAUUCUGUCAAUUACUUGCAUAAAUGCACCAUAACAGCUGCAUGUGGUCUAUGUUGCUAAAUAAUUUUUGAUGGUUUCCAUAUUUGCUUAUGUGUUACCAUGUCUCUUAUGGUCAAUAGUUUGUAUUUAAUAGUCACACACAGAGAUGAAAGGGGGAAAACAAUGGAUCUCACAGGGUCUAUUGCAACUACUGUAGCAUUAUAAGUAAUACUUUUUGUAAAUAAAUACUGACCUGGAUAAA